rnacentral:misc_RNA from 1 species
ACAGAUGAUGGCGACUACCAGGUAAAACUCCGCAGCCUGGUUCGCUUUCUGGAAGAUGGCGAUAAGGCUAAGAUCACACUGCGUUUCCGCGGUCGUGAGAUGGCCCACCAACAGAUCGGUAUGGAAGUGCUUAACCGCGUCCGUGACGAUCUGAGUGAACUGGCAGUAGUCGAAUCCUUCCCUACGAAGAUCGAAGGCCGCCAGAUGAUCAUGGUGCUCGCUCCUAAGAAGAAACAGUAAGGCCUUCAAGUAGCAAUUCCUGUGGUGCCUUUGGGCUUCACAGGUUUUGCUCGCCUGGGUUUCGUUUAUUAACAAUGCGAAGUGGAAGUUAUUAAAAUGCCAA